rnacentral:rRNA from 1 species
UGUCUAAGUAUAAGCAAUUAUACAGCGAAACUGCGAAUGGCUCAUUAUAUAAGUUAUCGUUUAUUUGAUAGUACCUUACUACUUGGAUAACCGUGGUAAUUCUAGAGCUAAUACAUGCUGAAAAUCCCGACUUCGGAAGGGAUGUAUUUAUUAGAUUAAAAACCAAUGCCCUCUGGGCUCCUUGGUGAUUCAUGAUAACUCUUCGAAUCGCAUGGCCUUGCGCCGGCGAUGGUUCAUUCAAAUUUCUUCCCUAUCAACUUUCGAUGUUUGGGUAUUGGCCAAACAUGGUCGCAACGGGUAACGGAGGGUUAGGGCUCGACCCCGGAGAAGGAGCCUGAGAAACGGCUACUACAUCCAAGGAAGGCAGCAGGCGCGCAAAUUACCCAAUCCCGAUUCGGGGAGGUAGUGACAAUAAAUACUGAUACAGGGCUCUUUUGGGUCUUGUAAUUGGAAUGAGUACAAUUUAAAUCCCUUAACGAGGAACAAUUGGAGGGCAAGUCUGGUGCCAGCAGCCGCGGUAAUUCCAGCUCCAAUAGCGUAUAUUAAAGUUGUUGUGGUUAAAAAGCUCGUAGUUGAACCUUGGGCCUGGCUGGCCGGUCCGCCUCACCGCGUGUACUGGUCCGGCCGGGCCUUUCCCUCUGUGGAACCUCAUGCCCUUCACUGGGUGUGGCGGGGAAACAGGACUUUUACUUUGAAAAAAUUAGAGUGCUCCAGGCAGGCCUAUGCUCGAAUACAUUAGCAUGGAAUAAUGAAAUAGGACGCGUGGUUCUAUUUUGUUGGUUUCUACGACCGCCGUAAUGAUUAAUAGGGACAGUCGGGGGCAUCAGUAUUCAAUUGUCAGAGGUGAAAUUCUUGGAUUUAUUGAAGACUAACUACUGCGAAAGCAUUUGCCAAGGAUGUUUUCAUUAAUCAGGAACGAAAGUUAGGGGAUCGAAGACGAUCAGAUACCGUCGUAGUCUUAACCAUAAACUAUGCCGACUAGGGAUCGGACGAUGUUAUUUUUUGACGCGUUCGGCACCUUACGAGAAAUCAAAGUGCUUGGG